UAGGGAAUCUUCGGCAAUGGGGGGAACCCUGACCGAGCAACGCCGCGUGAGUGAAGAAGGUUUUCGGAUCGUAAAGCUCUGUUGUUAAGGAAGAACGAGUGUGAGAAUGGAAAGUUCAUACUGUGACGGUACUUAACCAGAAAGGGACGGCUAACUACGUGCCAGCAGCCGCGGUAAUACGUAGGUCCCGAGCGUUGUCCGGAUUUAUUGGGCGUAAAGCGAGCGCAGGCGGUUAGAAAAGUCUGAAGUGAAAGGCAGUGGCUCAACCAUUGUAGGCUUUGGAAACUGUUUAACUUGAGUGCAGAAGGGGAGAGUGGAAUUCCAUGUGUAGCGGUGAAAUGCGUAGAUAUAUGGAGGAACACCGGUGGCGAAAGCGGCUCUCUGGUCUGUAACUAACGCUGAGGCUCGAAAGCGUGGGGAGCGAACAGG
rnacentral:rRNA from 1 species